rnacentral:rRNA from 1 species
UACCAGCUCUCCGAGUGGUAGGGAUGAUUAUUGGGCUUAAAGCGUCCGUAGCCGGCUCUUCAAGUCUUUCGUUAAAUCCAACGAUUCAAUCGCUGGACUGCGGGAGAUACUGCUGAGCUAGGAGGCGAGAGAAGUCGACGGUAUUUCCGGGGUAGGAGUGAAAUCCUAUAAUCCCGGGAGGACCACCAGUGGCGAAGGCGGUCGACCAGAACGCGCUCGACGGUGAGGGACGAAAGCUGGGGGAGCGAACCGGAUUAGAUACCCGGGUAGUCCCAGCAGUAAACGAUGCGAGCUAGGUGUUAGGGUGGCCAUGAGCCGCUCUAGUGCCGCAGGGAAACCGUUAAGCUCGCCGCCUGGGGAGUACGGCCGCAAGGCUGAAACUUAAAGGAAUUGGCGGGGGAGCACCACAAGGGGUGAAGCUUGCGGUUUAAUUGGAGUCAACACCGGAAACCUUACCGGGAGCGACAGCAGAGUGAAAGCCAGAUUGAAGGUCUUGCCGGACGAGCUGAGAGGAGGUGCAUGGCCGUCGCCAGUUCGUGCCGUGAGGUGUCCUGUUAAGUCAGGCAACGAUCGAGACCCACAUCCCCUGUUGCCACUGAAGAAGCUUUCUGAGGGGCACACUGGGGGUACUGCCGACGAUAAGUCGGAGGAAGGAGUGGGCAACGGCAGGUCAGUAUGCCCCGAAUCUCCCGGGCCACACGCGAGCUGCAAUGGUGGGGACAGUGGGCUCCGACCUCGAAAGGGGAAGGUAAUCCCGAAACCCUGCCUCAGUUGGGAUCGAGGGCUGCAACCCGCCCUCGUGAACAUGGAAUCCCUAGUAAUCGCGCGUCACUAUCGCGCGGUGAAUACGUCCCUGCUCCU